GAUGAACGCUGGCGGCGUGCCUAAUACAUGCAAGUCGAGCGAACGGACGAUAAGCUUGCUUCUCUGAUGUUAGCGGCUGACGGGUGAGUAACACGUGGAUAACCUACCUAUAAGACUGGGAUAACUUCGGGAAACCGGAGCUAAUACCGGAUAAUAUUUUGAACCGCAUGGUUCAAAAGUAAAAGACGGUCUUGCUGUCACUUAUAGAUGGAUCCGCGCUGCAUUAGCUAGUUGGUAAGGUAACGGCUUACCAAGGCAACGAUGCAUAGCCGACCUGAGAGGGUGAUCGGCCACACUGGAACUGAGACACGGUCCAGACUCCUACGGGAGGCAGCAGUAGGGAAUCUUCCGCAAUGGGCGAAAGCCUGACGGAGCAACGCCGCGUGAGUGAUGAAGGUCUUCGGAUCGUAAAACUCUGUUAUUAGGGAAGAACAUAUGUGUAAGUAACUGUGCACAUCUUGACGGUACCUAAUCAGAAAGCCACGGCUAACUACGUG
rnacentral:rRNA from 1 species